CCUACGGGAGGCAGCAGUGGGGAAUAUUGGACAAUGGGCGAAAGCCUGAUCCAGCAAUGCCGCGUGAGUGAUGAAGGCCUUAGGGUCGUAAAGCUCUUUUACCAGGGAUGAUAAUGACAGUACCUGGAGAAUAAGCUCCGGCUAACUCCGUGCCAGCAGCCGCGGUAAUACGGAGGGAGCUAGCGUUGUUCGGAAUUACUGGGCGUAAAGCGUGCGUAGGCGGUUAUUCAAGUCAGAGGUGAAAGCCCGGGGCUCAACCCCGGAACGGCCUUUGAAACUAGAUAACUAGAAUCUUGGAGAGGUCAGUGGAAUUCCGAGUGUAGAGGUGAAAUUCGUAGAUAUUCGGAAGAACACCAGUGGCGAAGGCGACUGACUGGACAAGUAUUGACGCUGAGGUACGAAAGCGUGGGGAGCAAACAGGAUUAGAUACCCUGGUAGUCCACGCCGUAAACGAUGAUAACUAGCUGUCCGGACACUUGGUGUUUGGGUGGCGCAGCUAACGCAUUAAGUUAUCCGCCUGGGGAGUACGGUCGCAAGAUUAAAACUUAAAGAUAUAGCGNGUGAGUGCGACGAGACACGAGGAGGUAG
rnacentral:rRNA from 1 species